rnacentral:rRNA from 1 species
AUACGUAGGUGGCGAGCGUUGUCCGGAAUUAUUGGGCGUAAAGAGCAUGUAGGCGGCUUAAUAAGUCGAGCGUGAAAAUGCGGGGCUCAACCCCGUAUGGCGCUGGAAACUGUUAGGCUUGAGUGCAGGAGAGGAAAGGGGAAUUCCCAGUGUAGCGGUGAAAUGCGUAGAUAUUGGGAGGAACACCAGUGGCGAAGGCGCCUUUCUGGACUGUGUCUGACGCUGAGAUGCGAAAGCCAGGGUAGCGAACGGGAUUAGAUACCCCGGUAGUCCUGGCCGUAAACGAUGGGUACUAGGUGUAGGAGGUAUCGACCCCUUCUGUGCCGGAGUUAACGCAAUAAGUACCCCGCCUGGGGAGUACGUCCGCAAGGAUGAAACUCAAAUGAAUUGACGGGG